ACUAAGAAACAGGUUAGGUCAUUUUUGGGACUAGUUGGUUUCUAUAGAAGAUUUAUACCUAACUUUUCAGCCAUUGCAGCCCCGCUGACAGAUUUGACACGGAAAGGACAGCCUAACAAGUGUAUCUGGGGACAGCAGCAGGAAAAUGCAUUUACAUCGCUGAAGUACGCACUCAUGGUAACACCUGUGUUAAAAUUACCCGAUAUUAGUAAACCAUUUAUAUUGCAGACAGAUGCGUCAGAUGCAGGUGUUGGUGCAGUGUUGUUGCAAGAGGAAGAUGGAGUGAAGAAACCGGUUUUCUACGCUAGUCAGAAGCUGAAGUCGCACCAGUUGUCCUACUCUACGAUCGAGAAGGAAUGUUAUGCUAUAGUCUGGGCGGUCCAGAAGUUCCAAAGGUAUUUAUAUGGAAAAGAGUUCCUACUGGAGACCGACCACCAACCUCUAGUUUAUCUAAGCCACGCCAAGGUAUCUAAUGCUCGUUUAAUGAGGUGGGCAUUGUUAUUGCAACCGUACAGAUUCCGGAUCGUCGCAAUUAAAGGUUCUGAAAACGUCGGUGCAGACUGUCUAAGUAGACUGUAAAUAUGUUACAGUACAUUUUGUGUAUAUUUUAUUGACAUUUUUUUUUAUUGAUUGUGUUUUUUUCAAAAGUUUAUGAAACUUUCUUGGAUAGGGAGAUAAUGUCACAAUCAAUAGAUUUAUUCAUUCUUACUAUUUUCCUAUAGGGUACCUCUGAUUUUUAUUCUAUGUUCAUAUCCUUUUUGGUGCCUCAAUUUUAUCAAUUCAGGUAUUGGUCAAUAUUGGACUAUACUCGGACUGUUCUAUUUGUUUACUAUGAUGCUAUAAAUACCCAUGUUUUUGGUCAGUGAGCCGGGGUCCAUUAGCACGCACUGCAGUAGUAACACGAUGUAUAGCUAAGUGUAUUUUUACGGUAACCAUCUCCAUUAGGGGUUCCAGCAAGGCUCCAGCAAUGUUCCAGUGAUGAUUCGGCCAUAGUCACCAGUGUUCCGGUAUUGAACAUCUUACCACCCGUGUAACCUCCUUCGAGUAUUCACUUACUACGCUGGAAGCCGGUGGACGGAAGCCGUCAUCUUAGGACGUGGUACCGAAGGAGGACACAUUGGAGGAACACUGGAGGGACACUGCUGUCCAAUAUACCACCAUAGGACAUUGACGAAUCAGAUAUUAGAAACAUUUUUUGUUUGUUAAUAUUUUGUGUGUGUGUGAAUGUGUAUAUUUGUAAAUUUAUUGAUUUUAUAUAUAGAUAAAGAUUGUAAAUACUUA